AUGUAUCAGAUUGUCUUAUUUAUCCAUCUGAUUUCUAGCUUGGUCUCUCCUGAGAACCACAGAGUGACCAUGAUGCUGUUUCUUCUUCUCUUCAUGUCUUUGGUUUGCUCAGCACUAUCAGUGGAGAGCUAUGGGAAAGACUUCAUCACUGCAUUCCCAGAAAACAUUGCAUACUACUAUCCACAGGAGUCCUCAAACACGCUCCAAAUUUCUGCUUUCUACAACCACACCCUCGUCUCAAUCAGCGUCAACUACACAAACGUAUAUAAUGAUAAGCUACAGUCUGGGCAGACUAAAAUUGUGCAUUUCCCCAAGUACAUUGAGCAAUAUCAGUUCACAAAAUCCCCUCUUUUAGUCAAAGUCAACAGCACUGAAAAUAUCGUGGUGCACUGGCUCAGUAAACGCAGCAACAGCGUGCAGUCUAACAUCGUUCAACCUGUAAGGAAUCUCGGAACACUGUAUUCAAUCCCAUUUAUCAAUUACAAUCAGAUGAUGGCGUCCUUUUACAAUAUGUCAGAUCAGUUAGCUCCGGACAACUGGAGAUACAAUUCAUUCAGGCUGAUCGUUAUCAAUGCCGAGAACACUGUGAACUUUAUCAUAGUCCAAAAUAUCAGCGCGGAUGGUCAAAAAGCAUUUAGAAUUAUGCUCAGGCCUUACGAACUUUACCAGUUUCAAACUAACGGUUCGGACAUUAAACUGUACUCUAACUCCAGCAUAGCUGUGAUGUUGACCCACCCGUGUGUAGAAACUACUGAAUGUGAUUGCAAUAUGGUGGUGAGCCACGUUCUCCCCCAAAAGCUGUGGGGUGACACGUUUGUUGUGCCAUUGGUGAAGAACCUGAAUACCUCCUGGCUGCAAGUGACUAACACAGCGGAAGUAUGGCUGAAUGGCAGAAAUAUAAAAACUCAACAGUCCAAUUCCUCAGAGCUAAUUCCGUUCCCAGAACUUAAUAAUGCAUCUCAGUUCAUCAGUGCAUCAAAUGUGGUGUCCAUCAGACUUAUGAGUCCAGGCCUCGUCUUAGAGCUCAUACCAGAAACCAUGUACGCCGCUUGUUACCUGGUUCAGAUGAACUCGACAGAGGGUGAGGCUGUUAUCAUAGCUCCAACAGCCAGUAUGGACAAUGUGUAUAUAGACGGCCAAUUACUGAACUCCACUGGCUGGAAACCCAUUCCCUAUUCAAACUACUCUUCCAUAUCUGUGUCGCUUAAUGGUGUGCAUGUCAUCUGGCAUCCAACCUCCAGGAUCGGAGUGUACAGGUUUGAGAAGAUGGAGAGUGGAAUUCCUUAUGGAAGCCCGGCUGUCAUUUUAAACAAAAACCCAGAUCGUAAUGGAUGUUUGGCAGAUUCUGCACAAUUUAAGACCACUACUAAUGUCAUGACAUGGCAGCAAUCCUAUCAAUACUGCCUAAAUAUAGCUUACCAGCUGAGCACACCAAGCAGUGAAAUGGCCCAAAAACAGAUGACCAACUUUCUGCGAAACACCGGAAGUCGCAGAUACUUCUGGAUCGGUCUGCGACGCAGUAACUCCAUGUCUGAGUGGUACUGGCAGAAAGGCAAUGACACCCAAUACAGUGUGAGCUACACGAAGUGGGCUAGAGGGCAUCCAGAUAAGCCCUGGAAAGCUUUGUGUGCUGCUGUGUCCCAAGACGACAACAAUGAGUUUACCUGGAAGAGUUUGGCCUGUUGCGCCAGACUUAGGCCAGUCUGCUACAAACACAGUGAAUACUUUAGUGAUAUGACCUUUAAUACACUAUACGAUCAUUUUAACAUCACUUAACCAAAGGUCUGUCCUUCUUGCCAAAAUUCUUGACCUGAAGUUAGUAACUGCAGUAAUAAAUCAUAUUACAGAAGUUUAGUCAUGGUUCUUGGUCAAAUUAAUCAAAGUGCUUAUUUAUAGAAAAGCUUCUCACUGUCUGUUACUUUAUAGAAAUUUGGUUGUUUUUAUGCGUGUAACAUAAAUCAAUAUUUGCAUGUAAAAAUAUAUGGAUCUUCUGAAAAGAGAAAAAAAAACGACAUAUUAUUAGUUAUAUAUCAUAUUUUAUGGCUUCAUAUACUAUUAUUGCACAAACCAAAACUGAAUAGCCUCUCAAAUAUGACAACUAUCAAAACUUUAAUGUCUGAUGUAAUGCAUGGUGAUCUAAAUGAAGGCGACUAAAGUGAAAUGACUGUAGGGGAAUACAAGCAUAUGUCACUAGAUCACAGUGCUCUUAUUAAUAUCACCUAUAUUUGGCUUGAUUCUGGUGCAUUAUGGGUGUGUUGGUUGAAGUUUUCGGCUCACCGUCGUCUCCAUUCUGUGAUGUAAUUUAGGUAAAUCAGAGGUUUUAAUCACAGACAUCUAUAGACAUUCAACAGUUUUUAAUUUUAAUCAGUCAUACACAUGUUUUGCUUGUAAUUAUGAGUCACUUGCGCUGGUUUACAAAUAAAUAAAUUCAAUAAAUUACUUUCAAAUUCAUAAUCUGUGUUUUCCAUUUAUCUCACCCUGUUUAUAUGGGUUUAUGGUUUAUUUAAGGCAUAUCUAUGUCAUAAAUGUGAAUUGUUAGUAUCACAUGUGAGUGAACUUGUGGCGUAAAGUAGGAUACUUUCCUGUUUUGUUUUCAUUAGCAUCGCCGAAUGUGCAGUGUUUUUGUACUAAAUACUGGCAAAACGGUUGCAAUAACAACCGUAAGCUUGUUUUUAAAAUGUUUUUGCUAAUGGAUCAGCUGUAUGAUGUUUUAUUUUUGAGAAUUUAGUCUUGCGCAGCCAGACCUUCAGACUGACGGCUGAAGAUCUGGAAUCCAUGGCAGCUUUCUAAGGCCCGCCCAUGAGGCCGUUUGACCGACAUGUCAAACAACCAAUCAUAGAUCAUUUCGUUCAGCUUCACGUUUCGGGUAGUGGAAAUGUCGCCACAAUAAUAGACCGUGUGUAAACUCUCAGACAUAUUUGAAAGAUGUUAUCACACAAACUUUAAAUAUUUCACAUACCUUUGAAACUCCAGUGUUUAUAUGACACUGAUAAGCACUCGUAGUCACAGUUGUAACCUCAA
ensembl:lncRNA